AACUUUCAGCAACGGAUCUCUUGGCUCUCCCAUCGAUGAAGAACGCAGCGAAAUGCGAUAAGUAAUGUGAAUUGCAGAAUUUAGUGAAUCAUCGAAUCUUUGAACGCACCUUGCGCCCUUUGGUAUUCCGGAGGGCAUGCCUGUUUGAGUGUCAUUAAAUUCUCAACCUUGCAAGCUUUUUGUUUGUAAGGCUGGGUUGUGAGUGCUUUGCUGGCUUCCUUCAGUUGGAUGGUUUGCUCCCUUUAUAUUUAUUAGCGGGAUACUUUGUGAAUGGGUUCACGUAGUGUGAUAAUUAUCUACGCCGCUUGACCCUGAAACAAGACUUGUGGCAAAAGGCUUAUAACCGUCGCUUUUGGGGACAACUUUAUCUUGACAAUUUGACCUCAAAUCAGGUAGGACUACCCGCUGAACUUAAGCAUAUCAAUAAGCGGAGGCU
rnacentral:misc_RNA from 1 species